CCUACGGGAGGCAGCAGUGAGGAAUAUUGGUCAAUGGCCGGAAGGCUGAACCAGCCAUGCCGCGUGAAGGGCAGGGACCUAGGGGCGUUAAACUUCUUUUGUGCGGGAGCAAGAAUGGUCACGUGUGGCCAGACGAGAGGACCGUACGAAUAAGCAUCGGCUAACUCCGUGCCAGCAGCCGCGGUAAUACGGGGGAUGCAAGCGUUAUCCGGAUUUCUGGGGUUUAAAGGGUGCGGAGGCUGUGAGGUAAGUCAGCGGGGAAAUGCCCCCGCUCACCGGGGUGAAGGGCCAUUGAUACUGCCUUGCUGGAUUGCGGAUGCCGUGGGAGGCAUGUGUGGUGUAGCGGUGAAAUGCAUCGAUAUCACAC
rnacentral:rRNA from 1 species